rnacentral:rRNA from 1 species
UACGUAGGGCGCAAGCGUUGUCCGGAAUUAUUGGGCGUAAAGAGCUCGUAGGCGGCUUGUCACGUCGGAUGUGAAAGCCCGGGGCUUAACUCCGGGUCUGCAUCCGAUACGGGCUAGCUAGAGUGCAGUAGGGGAGACUGGAAUUCCUGGUGUAGCGGUGAAAUGCGCAGAUAUCAGGAGGAACACCGAUGGCGAAGGCAGGUCUCUGGGCUGUAACUGACGCUGAGGAGCGAAAGCAUGGGGAGCGAACAGG